AUGGCUCAUAGUGAUGUUCCCAUUGAUAACAAAAAGUUGUGGAAGCUAAAAAUACCUUUAACUGUGAAGAUAUUCGUCUGGUUUUUAAGCAGAGGAGUCAUCUUAACUUGAGAUCACCUGGCACGACGUAACUGGCAAGGUAGUAAGACAUGUGUCUUUUGCCAACAUGACGAGUCUAUUAAACAUUUAUUUCUUGAGUGUAAGUUCGCUCGUGCAGUAUGGGCCAUAGUUCAAGUAGUUUCAACUCUAUACCCUCCAUGUAGUGCACGUAAUAUUUUCGGCAAUUUGUUGCGGGGUAUCGAUAAACAAUUUUCUGGCCAUAUUUUUGUGGGGGUGUGUCAUGGUUUUGUCAUAGCAGAUGUCCUCGGGAAAGGACAAAGUCUGGAGGCCAUCGCAACUAGGAGGUCGCUUGAGAGGGGUUGA
rnacentral:rRNA from 1 species